AGGGUAAUAGUUAAUAAUAACAUUUGGGUUGCAUUCAAAAAGUACUAAACAUUUAGUUUACCUUA
rnacentral:tRNA from 1 species